rnacentral:rRNA from 1 species
ACGCUAGCUACAGGCUUAACACAUGCAAGUCGAGGGGCAGCAUAGUCUUAGCUUGCUAAGGCCGAUGGCGACCGGCGCACGGGUGAGUAACACGUAUCCAACCUGCCGUCUACUCUUGGACAGCCUUCUGAAAGGAAGAUUAAUACAAGAUGGCAUCAUGAGUCCGCAUGUUCACAUGAUUAAAGGUAUUCCGGUAGACGAUGGGGAUGCGUUCCAUUAGAUAGUAGGCGGGGUAACGGCCCACCUAGUCUUCGAUGGAUAGGGGUUCUGAGAGGAAGGUCCCCCACAUUGGAACUGAGACACGGUCCAAACUCCUACGGGAGGCAGCAGUGAGGAAUAUUGGUCAAUGGGCGAGAGCCUGAACCAGCCAAGUAGCGUGAAGGAUGACUGCCCUAUGGGUUGUAAACUUCUUUUAUAAAGGAAUAAAGUCGGGUAUGGAUACCCGUUUGCAUGUACUUUAUGAAUAAGGAUCGGCUAACUCCGUGCCAGCAGCCGCGGUAAUACGGAGGAUCCGAGCGUUAUCCGGAUUUAUUGGGUUUAAAGGGAGCGUAGAUGGAUGUUUAAGUCAGUUGUGAAAGUUUGCGGCUCAACCGUAAAAUUGCAGUUGAUACUGGAUAUCUUGAGUGCAGUUGAGGCAGGCGGAAUUCGUGGUGUAGCGGUGAAAUGCUUAGAUAUCACGAAGAACUCCGAUUGCGAAGGCAGCCUGCUAAGCUGCAACUGACAUUGAGGCUCGAAAGUGUGGGUAUCAAACAGGAUUAGAUACCCUGGUAGUCCACACGGUAAACGAUGAAUACUCGCUGUUUGCGAUAUACUGCAAGCGGCCAAGCGAAAGCGUUAAGUAUUCCACCUGGGGAGUACGCCGGCAACGGUGAAACUCAAAGGAAUUGACGGGGGCCCGCACAAGCGGAGGAACAUGUGGUUUAAUUCGAUGAUACGCGAGGAACCUUACCCGGGCUUAAAUUGCAGAUGAAUUACGGUGAAAGCCGUAAGCCGCAAGGCAUCUGUGAAGGUGCUGCAUGGUUGUCGUCAGCUCGUGCCGUGAGGUGUCGGCUUAAGUGCCAUAACGAGCGCAACCCUUGUUGUCAGUUACUAACAGGUUCCGCUGAGGACUCUGACAAGACUGCCAUCGUAAGAUGUGAGGAAGGUGGGGAUGACGUCAAAUCAGCACGGCCCUUACGUCCGGGGCUACACACGUGUUACAAUGGGGGGUACAGAGGGCCGCUACCACGCGAGUGGAUGCCAAUCCCCAAAACCUCUCUCAGUUCGGACUGGAGUCUGCAACCCGACUCCACGAAGCUGGAUUCGCUAGUAAUCGCGCAUCAGCCACGGCGCAGUGAAUACGUUCCCGGGCCUUGUACACACCGCCCGUCAAGCCAUGGGAGCCGGGGGUACCUGAAGUGCGUAACCGCGAGGAGCGCCCUAGGGUAAAACUGGUGACUGGGGCU